rnacentral:rRNA from 1 species
UUAAGCUACCAAGGGCAUAUGGUGGAUGCCUAGGCGUUCCGAGUCGAUGAAGGACGCGAUAAGCUGCGAUAAGCUGAGGCGAGCUGCAAGUAAGCUUUGACCCUCAGAUUUCCGAAUGGGGCAACCCAGUGCGAGUUAUGUUGCACUAUCCGAAAGGAGGACACACCUGGUGAACUGAAACAUCUAAGUAGCCAGAGGAAAAGUAAUCAAAAGAGAUUCCCCCAGUAGCGGCGAGCGAAAAGGGAAGAGCCCAAACCGGGAGACUUCGGUCACCCGGGGUUGAGGACCGGCAUAAAAGGAAGAGAUUCUAGCUGAAGCUUCUGGGAAGGAGCGGCGCAGAAGGUGAAACCCCCGUAAGCGAAAGAACCUCCAAUGGGCCGGUAUCCAGAGUACCACGAGACACGUGAAACCUUGUGGGAAGCAGGGUGGACCACCAUCCAAGGCAAAAUACUACGGAACGACCGAUAGCGCAUAGUACCGUGAGGGAAAGGUGAAAAGGACCCCGGGAGGGGAGUGAAAUAGAACCUGAAACCGUAUGUCUACAAGCAGUCGAAGCACUUUAUAUGUGCGACGGCGUGCCUAUUGAAGAAUGAACCGGCGAGUUAAUCUAUGUGGCAAGGUUAAGCGGAAGACGCGGAGCCGAAGCGAAAGCGAGUCUUAACAGGGCGCAAGUCACAUGGAUUAGACCCGAAACCACAGUGAUCUAUGCAUGGCCAGGUUGAAGCUCAGGUAAAAAUGAGUGGAGGACCGAACCCGUGAGUGUUGAAAAACUUUGGGAUGAGCUGUGCAUAGGGGUGAAAUGCCAAUCGAACGUGGAGAUAGCUGGUUCUCCCCGAAAUAGCUUUAGGGCUAGCCUCAGGCGACACAUACAGAUGGUAGAGCACUGAUCGGACGCGGGUCUGUAAUGGAUACCAACUCCAGUCAAACUGCGAAUGGCUGUAUGAGAAGAACCUGGGAGUCAGAGUGCGAGUGAUAAGACCCGUACUCAAGAGGGAAACAGCCCAGACCGCCGACUAAGGUCCCCAAUGCUGUACUAAGUGGAAAAGGAUGUAGGACUUCAUAAACAACCAGGAUGUUGGCUCAGAAGCAGCCACCAUUCAAAGAGUGCGUAAUAGCUCACUGGUCGAGAGGCCCUGCGCCGAAAAUAUCCGGGGCUCAAGUACAGAACCGAAGUCGCGGCAGCGGGGUAUAAUCUACAGAGUAGCUGAGAGACAGAUGCGCAGGAUAUGCUGGCAUAUGCAAGGAAGAGGAACGAGUCAUAGCGGUUGCUAUGGCGAGCGACGAUGACGAAGCAGAUGACAGCAUAGACAAGCAGAUGGCCUCAGAUAUCCUGUAGAUUAUGCCCCACUGGGUAGGGGAGCGUUCCAAGGGCGUUGAAGGUUGACCGCAAGGACAGCUGGAGCGCUUGGAAGUGAGAAUGCUGGUAUGAGUAGCGAAACGGUCAGUGAGAAUCUGACCCACCGAAAGCCUAAGGGAUCCUGGGCAACGCUCGUCGUCCCAGGGUAAGUCGGGACCUAAGCCGAGGCAGCAAGCAUAGGCGAUGGACAACAGGCAAAAAUUCCUGUACCGCAUGGAACCGUUUGAGGAUGGAGUGACGCAGCAAGGAGCUUGAGUCGGCGAUUGGAAAUGCCGGUCGAAGGCGGUAGGCUGGUGAGGAGGCAAAUCCCCUCACUGCAAGGCCGAGAACUGACAGAUAGGGAUUCCUACGGGAUGAACGAAUUCAAGCGUACUACACUGCCGAGAAAAGCUUCUAACGAGGUGAAAUGCGCCCGUACCAAAACCGACACAGGUAGGCGGGGAGAGAAUCCUAAGGUGCGCGGGAGAACCCUCGUUAAGGAACUCGGCAAAAUGCAUCCGUAACUUCGGGAGAAGGAUGGCCGGAGCUGGUGAAGUGACUUGCUCAUGGAGCUGGAGCCGGCGACAGAAGAGAAGCCCAAGCGACUGUUUACCACAAACACAGGUGCCUGCUAAAGAGAAAUCUGACGUAUAGGUGCUGACACCUGCCCGGUGCUGGAAGGUUAAGAGGAAGGGUCAGGCGCAAGCUGAAGCUCUGAAUUGAAGCCCCAGUAAACGGCGGCCGUAACUAUAACGGUCCUAAGGUAGCGAAAUUCCUUGUCGGGUAAGUUCCGACCCGCACGAAAGGUGUAACGAUUUGGGCACUGUCUCAACGAGGGACCCGGUGAAAUUGAAAUACCUGUGAAGAUGCAGGUUACCCGCGACUGGACAGAAAGACCCCAUGGAGCUUUACUGCAGCCUGACAUUGAUUUUUGGCAUGUAACGUACAGGAUAGCUGGGAGACGGAGAACCCUGAUCGCCAGAUUAGGGGGAGUCAUUGUUGGGAUACCAGCCUUUGCGUGUUAGGAAUCUAACUCCGGGAUUAACAAAACCGAGGACAGUAUCAGGUGGGCAGUUUGACUGGGGCGGUCGCCUCCGAAAGAGUAACGGAGGCGUCCAAAGGUUCCCUCAGCGCGGACAGAAAUCGCGCGAAGAGUAUAAAGGCAGAAGGGAGCUUGACUGCGAGACAUACAGGUCGAGCAGGUACGAAAGUAGGGCUUAGUGAUCCGGUGGAAUGAGAGUGGAAUUGCCAUCGCUCAACGGAUAAAAGCUACCCUGGGGAUAACAGGCUAAUCUCUCCCAAGAGUCCAUAUCGACGGGGAGGUUUGGCACCUCGAUGUCGGCUCAUCACAUCCUGGGGCUGAAGCAGGUCCCAAGGGUUGGGCUGUUCGCCCAUUAAAGUGGUACGUGAGCUGGGUUCAGAACGUCGUGAGACAGUUCGGUCCAUAUCCAUCGCGGGCGUAAGAUACAUGAGGGAGACUGCUCCUAGUACGAGAGGACCGGAGUGGACGGACCGCCGGUGAACCAGUCAUGCCGCCAGGUGUGCAGCUGGGCAGCUGCGUCCGGAAGGGAUAAACGCUGAAAGCAUCUAAGCGUGAAGCCCGUCCCGAGAUGAAGUAUCUCAUAGCAUAAGCUAGUAAGACACCUUGAAGAAGACAAGGUUGAUAGGGUAGGUGUGGAAGUACCGUGAGGUAUGAAGCUAACUACUACUAAUAUGUCGAGGGCUUAACUUA